rfam:Capsicum annuum cultivar Zunla-1 chromosome 1, whole genome shotgun sequence
AAUGGCAAUUACAAUGGGAAGCAAGGCUGUAAGGCGAAGCGAAUCCAGAAAUAUUGCCUCAGUUCGGAUUGUUCUCUGCAACUCGAGAACAUGAAG